rnacentral:rRNA from 1 species
UGAGCCUAAGUCGGAUUAGCUAGAUGGUGGGGUAAAGGCCUACCAUGGCGACGAUCUGUAGCUGGUCUGAGAGGAUGAUCAGCCACACCGGGACUGAGACACGGCCCGGACUCCUACGGGAGGCAGCAGUGGGGAAUAUUGGACAAUGGGGGAAACCCUGAUCCAGCCAUGCCGCGUGUGUGAAGAAGGCCUUUUGGUUGUAAAGCACUUUAAGCAGUGAAGAAGACUCUUCGGUUAAUACCCGGAGACGAUGACAUUAGCUGCAGAAUAAGCACCGGCUAACUCUGUGCCAGCAGCCGCGGUAAUACAGAGGGUGCAAGCGUUAAUCGGAAUUACUGGGCGUAAAGCGAGCGUAGGUGGCUUGAUAAGUCAGAUGUGAAAUCCCCGGGCUUAACCUGGGAACUGCAUCUGAAACUGUUAGGCUAGAGUAGGUGAGAGGGAAGUAGAAUUUCAGGUGUAGCGGUGAAAUGCGUAGAGAUCUGAAGGAAUACCGAUGGCGAAGGCAGCUUCCUGGCAUCAUACUGACACUGAGGCUCGAAAGCGUGGGUAGCAGACAGGAUUAGAUACCCUGGUAGUCCACGCCGUCAACGAUGUCUACUAGUCGUUGGGUCCCUUGAGGACUUAGUGACGCAGCUAACGCAAUAAGUAGACCGCCUGGGGAGUACGGCCGCAAGGGUUAAACUCAAUGAAUUGACGGGGGCCGCAC